AUUGAACGCUGGCGGCAGGCCUAACACAUGCAAGUCGAGCGGAUGAAGGGAGCUUGCUCCUGGAUUCAGCGGCGGACGGGUGAGUAAUGCCUAGGAAUCUGCCUGGUAGUGGGGGAUAGCGUCCGGAAACGGGCGCUAAUACCGCAUACGUCCUGAGGGAGAAAGUGGGGGAUCUUCGGACCUCACGCUAUCAGAUGAGCCUAGGUCGGAUUAGCUAGUUGGUGGGGUAAAGGCCUACCAAGGCGACGAUCCGUAACUGGUCUGAGAGGAUGAUCAGUCACACUGGAACUGAGACACGGUCCAGACCCCUACGGGAGGCAGCAGUGGGGAAUAUUGGACAAUGGGCGAAAGCCUGAUCCAGCCAUGCCGCGUGUGUGAAGAAGGUCUUCGGAUUGUAAAGCACUUUAAGUUGGGAGGAAGGGCAGUAAGUUAAUACCUUGCUGUUUUGACGUUACCAACAGAAUAAGCACCGGCUAACUUCGUG
rnacentral:rRNA from 1 species